rnacentral:rRNA from 1 species
UGCCCAAGAGAUCGGGAUAACACCUGGAAACAGAUGCUAAUACCGGAUAACAACAGAUGAUGCCUAUCAACUGUUUAAAAGAUGGUUCUGCUAUCACUCUUGGAUGGACCUGCGGUGCAUUAGCUAGUUGGUAGGGUAACGGCCUACCAAGGCGAUGAUGCAUAGCCGAGUUGAGAGACUGAUCGGCCACAUUGGGACUGAGACACGGCCCAAACUCCUACGGUAGGCAGCAGCC